rnacentral:pre_miRNA from 1 species
UUUUUAGUAUAAGUUGUGUCCCAUGCAAUAUUUGGGAUAUAAUUACGCUAAAA